CCGAAGCUACGGGUUCGUCGAAUGACGAGCGGUAGAGGAGCGUCGUGUACGCCAAUGAAGGUGGAUUGAGAAGUCUGCUGGAGGUAUCACGAGUGCGAAUGCUGACAUGAGUAACGACAAGGGGAGUGAAAAACUCCCCCGCCGGAAGACCAAGGGUUUCUGUUCGACGCUAAUCGGAGCAGAGUGAGUCGGCCCCUAAGGCGAGGCCGAAAGGCGUAGUCGAUGGGAAACGGGUCAAUAUUCCCGUACUUCACUGUAUUGCGAUGGGGGGACGAAGAAGGCUAGGUGAGCCAGGCGUUGGUUGUCCUGGUGAAAGUCAGUAGGCCGAGGAAUCAGGUAAAUCCGGUUCCUUAAAGCCGAGAGACGAGACGAACAGACUACGGUCUGGAAGUCAUCGAUGCCACGCUUCCAGGAAAAGCCUCUAAGCUUCAGAUACAGUGGAACCGUACCCCAAACCGACACAGGUGGUCAGGUAGAGAAUACCAAGGCGCUUGAGAGAACUCGGGUGAAGGAACUAGGCAAAAUGGUGCCGUAACUUCGGGAGAAGGCACGCCGCAUUAGCGUGAGAGGACUUGCUCCUUCAGCGCGAAGCGGUCGAAGAUACCAGGUGGCUGCAACUGUUUAUUAAAAACACAGCACUCUGCAAACGCGCAAGCGGACGUAUAGGGUGUGACGCCUGCCCGGUGCCGGAAGGUUAAGUGAUGGUGUUAGCUUCGGCGAAGCUCUUGAUCGAAGCCCCGGUAAACGGCGGCCGUAACUAUAACGGUCCUAAGGUAGCGAAAUUCCUUGUCGGGUAAGUUCCGACCUGCACGAAUGGCGUAAUGAUGGCCACGCUGUCUCCACCCGAGACUCAGUGAAAUUGAAAUCGCAGUGAAGAUGCUGUGUACCCGCGGCUAGACGGAAAGACCCCGUGAACCUUUACUAUAGCUUCACACUGGACGCCGAUGUUGCUUGUGUAGGAUAGCUGGGAGGCUUGGAAACCCGAUCGCUAGAUCGGGUGGAGCCAACCUUGAAAUACCAGCCUGGCAUCAUUGGCGUUCUAACUCAGGUCCAUUAUCUGGAUCGAGGACCGUGUGUGGUGGGUAGUUUGACUGGGGCGGUCUCCUCCCAAAGAGUAACGGAGGAGCACGAAGGUACCCUCAGCACGGUUGGAAAUCGUGCAUUGAGUGCAAGAGCAUAAGGGUGCUUAACUGCGAGACAGACACGUCGAGCAGGUACGAAAGUAGGUUCUAGUGAUCCGGUGGUUCUGUAUGGAAGGGCCAUCGCUCAACGGAUAAAAGGUACUCCGGGGAUAACAGGCUGAUACCGCCCAAGAGUUCACAUCGACGGCGGUGUUUGGCACCUCGAUGUCGGCUCAUCACAUCCUGGGGCUGAAGUCGGUCCCAAGGGUAUGGCUGUUCGCCAUUUAAAGUGGUACGCGAGCUGGGUUUAGAACGUCGUGAGACAGUUCGGUCCCUAUCUGCCGUGGGCGUUGGAUGUUUGAGAAGUGCUGCUCCUAGUACGAGAGGACCGGAGUGGACGCACCUCUGGUGUUCCGGUUGUCACGCCAGUGGCAUUGCCGGGUAGCUAUGUGCGGACGGGAUAACCGCUGAAAGCAUCUAAGCGGGAAGCCCCCUUCAAGAUGAGACAUCCCCGAGGCCUUGAGCCUCCUGAAGGGCCCAGCGAGACCAGCUGGUUGAUAGGCCGGGUGUGGAAGCGCUGCAAGGCGUUGAGCUAACCGGUACUAAUGGCCCGUGAGGCUUGACCAU
rnacentral:rRNA from 1 species